CCUACGGGAGGCAGCAGUGAGGAAUAUUGGUCAAUGGACGAGAGUCUGAACCAGCCAAGUCGCGUGAAGGAUGACUGCCCUAGGGGUUGUAAACUUCUUUUAUAUGGGAAUAAAAUGUUGCAAGUGAGGGAUGUUGUAUGUACCAUAUGAAUAAGGAUCGGCUAACUCCGUGGCAGCAGCCGAGGUAAUACGGAGGUUCCGAGCGUUAUCAGGUGUGAUUGGGGUUAAAGGGAGCGUAGGUGGAUUGUUAAGUCAGUUGUGAAAGUUUGCGGCUCAACCGUGAAAUUGCAGUUGAAACUGGCAGUCUUGAGUACAGUAGAGGUGGGCGGAAUUCGUGGUGUAGCGGUGAAAUGCUUAGAUAUCACGAAGAACUCCGAUUGCGAAGGCAGCUUACUGGACUGCAACUGACACUGAGGCUCGAAGGUGUGGGUAUCAAACAGGAUUAGAUACCCUAGUAGUC
rnacentral:rRNA from 1 species